UAAUAAUGUGUGAUUAAUAACCACAUAUUGUGCUGUGACAAGGAACUGGUGGAAGAUCAGAGAGAAGGGGGGCGAGAUACUAUCUGGUGGGCUAAAUGAAGGGGCAUCAGAGGGGAAAAGAGGGAGUGAGUUAGCAUGACAUGGAUGUCCAGCUGGAAACCACAGCAAGAUCUUCUACAACAUUGUCUUUAUCGCAAAGGAGAUCUUCAGACAGUGAAUCUAAAAAAGAAAUGCAACAAGUUGGAGGGGAAAAAACCUGGAACAGAGGGGGGAGUCAUUGGCUGGUGGCAAUCAGUGUAACUGCUCUGAAUAUGUUUUCACUGAAAGAAAAGAUAUAG
rnacentral:lncRNA from 1 species